rnacentral:rRNA from 1 species
AUUGAACGCUGGCGGCAGGCCUAACACAUGCAAGUCGAGCGGAUGAGGGGAGCUUGCUUCCUGAUUCAGCGGCGGACGGGUGAGUAAUGCCUAGGAAUCUGCCUGGUAGUGGGGGACAACGUUUCGAAAGGAACGCUAAUACCGCAUACGUCCUACGGGAGAAAGUGGGGGAUCUUCGGACCUCACGCUAUCAGAUGAGCCUAGGUCGGAUUAGCUAGUUGGUGAGGUAAAGGCUCACCAAGGCGACGAUCCGUAACUGGUCUGAGAGGAUGAUCAGUCACACUGGAACUGAGACACGGUCCAGACUCCUACGGGAGGCAGCAGUGGGGAAUAUUGGACAAUGGGCGAAAGCCUGAUCCAGCCAUGCCGCGUGUGUGAAGAAGGUCUUCGGAUUGUAAAGCACUUUAAGUUGGGAGGAAGGGCUGUAGGCUAAUAUCCUGCAGUUUUGACGUUACCGACAGAAUAAGCACCGGCUAACUUCGUGCCAGCCGCCGCGGUAAUAC